rnacentral:lncRNA from 10 species
GUGUGACCUCACGCCGUCAUUAGUAACUCGGGCAGGGGAGGGAUUCGGGGAGGUCUCAUCAAUUUGGGCCUGAGGAAAAUUCAGGUGGAAGACAAUUAAAUAACUAACCACCUCCGCAAGGUGCAGAACUCAAACCCAAGUCUCCCUCCCACGCCCUGGGCUCCAGGGAAGCCCUUGGGUGUUGUUGUUGAAACAGGACGAGGCGUGACCCCGGGUCUGCGUUGUUUGGCGUGGGUUCUCACUAUGUUGCUUAAGCUGGUCCAGAACUCAAGCCAGUCUCUCACUUCAGCCUCUUGAGUCGUUGGGAUUACAGAAGCCACCAUGUCCAACUAGACAAGAUCUUGUUGCCCAGGCUGGUCUCAAACUCCUGCGUUCAAAUGAUACUCUCGCCUUGGCCUCCAAAAGUGUUGGGAUUGCAGACCUGAGCUACUAUGCCUGGCUGAAUUCUAUUUCUAUUGGAUUGGUUGUAAAGAAGUGCAUUGUAGCCUGCAAAGGAGCAGGGCCAGUGGGGUGGAGAGGGCAGAAGUGCUACAGAGGCCCCUGCUCUCCACUGCCCUGACUGCUACUGUGCUGGAUGCCGUGUGAACCACAGCUGCAUCUGGAGGCCUUGGGCAGGCUUUUCCAAUUUGGAGGCACAAAUAAGUGAGAACUUGGGGAUCCACUGAGGUCUGAGGCACGGUGGUACCAGAGGAGAUGAAGGGGCUUUCAGCAUGAAGCUGGUCCCCUGUCGACAGCACGCUGAUUUUCCCGUUGGGCUCUAUCAGCAUGUCCACUGUGAGACCAUGCUUGUGAAAAUACCAGGACGGUAAAUUAGUGAAUUCCAAAGUCAGGAUUUUUGUUGGAUCUGGCACAGUCACAGGAAAGUCUGAGUUUUCUCAAGGGCAUCCCUGUCUCACCGAGGGGCACCAAGGACAGACGACCAGAAGCAAAUGGCGCAGUCACCGUCAGAGGAGAGUAAAACUCAUUCUGAAACGGUUCCAAAUGCCCAUGCCUGCUCUGUGGUUUUCAGCAAAGCGGACCUUUCCAAAAGACCUCCAACAGGGACUUCCUGGAUGUGAGAACACUAACCAAUUCUCGUUCCUCUCAUCUUUUGCUUUAUUCCUUCCUUCCAUGCUGUUAUUGCGAAAAACUGGUAGUUAAAUUCAAUUGAUUCAAAAUAUUCGGGAUCCAUAUGGCCGCCAACCCUGGAGCUGAAGCGGCGAUAGCGCCUCACUGCUGUUUUCAAGCAUUUGCCUCUCCUCCAGUCCCCAGAUGGUGGGAGUAACAUUUAAACCUCCUUUUCUCUGCCUUGUACAAUAGACCUUGGCACCAUUUCAACUGUUUACUCCGGUAAUUAACAGCUCUGAUACCACAACAAUUACAACUCCUACACUCUCACCACAAUAAUGCUAUGAAUUAGUGAGAGCUAAUGGCUGGAAGGUAGAGUGUUUCCAGACUGUGGGAUCUGUGCAUUUUUAGAAUAAAAUAAAAGGUACAAACAGCACGCUUGCAGUAGACAAUGAUUACCUAGUAAUUAGUUUACACAAAGCUUCCUAUUUAAUGGCAAAACGCUGUAAUUAACGUGUGACAGAAAAUCAAAGGGUACUUUGUAAGCAUAUUAAAAAUUAACACUGCAGGCCCAUAGCUUUAUGUACUGAUUAGAAGCAUAUUAAAUCAAUAGGACACACAAACCAACAGCUUGGGUAGCUGAUUAUUAUAGGUCCUCAGAAGGGGUACCCUGGCUUUCAUUUCACUUGGGGAGGCAAUUUUCCUUCUCCUGUCAUCUUCCUCAGGCACAGAGAAACACCUCAAACUCAACCCUGGCAGCUUCAUGAAAAUAACCACUGAACUGGAAGAAAACAUUCUAAGUCAUUCUCAGAGAUGAAGACAAAUAUGUAAAUGAUUAAGACUUUCCAAUGAUUGUGGUGACGUGCUGCUACACUAAUUAGAAAAUACACCAACUGGAACCAGAAAAUAAAGCCACUGGGUUGCAAUCUUCCGGUCAGAAUAAUCUCUACUUUGUCAAGCCUCUUUAUUCAACUCAUAGAAAGUUCAAAUAAAUGGAACUGUUUUAUAUUUCUAAAUGAUAAGAAAGCAGGCUGCUAUGAAGACUUAUUCUUUCCAAGGCACUGUCUGGGUAAAGCAUAGGCUGGGAACAACUGGAUCAACCAACAUUCUGUAUCUUCAACAGCCACAACCCCAUAUAAUGAUGGCUGAUGGACAUAGACAGCAAUAUCCUGGAAGCCUACCAGAGCCUAAAGAACCUUCUGAAUCACCAAAGAAAGAUUAAGUUGUAUGUACUUGUUCAAUGUUACCUGUAUUUUGUUAUAAUACAAUUUUAUGGUAAUAAUAACAACAAUAAUAAUAGGUAGCAUUUCUUAAAGUCUUAUUAUGUGCUAAGCACACUGCUAGCCAAUUCAUAGAAUUAUCUCAUUUACUUGUCACCACUUCCCCAUGAGACAGGUACUAAUCUCUCUUUACAGAUAGAGAAAGGGAGACUUGGAGAGCUGAAGUAAUUUGCCUAUAGUUAUCCCCCAGGGAGCAUGGGAGUCUAACCUAGGUGUCCCUGGCUAUGGAACCCCAGGAAGCCAAACUACCUCUUAGUUACCCUGAAUGACUAGCCUGUUCCAACACUCAUUCUGCUUAAAAGGCAGUUUACUAUGUCAACCUGGAAUAGGAGACUAAAAAAAUUAAAACAAAAACAAAAUAUUUGGUUGCUUAUUUUUUUAAAAAACAGGGUGUUUCUGCUUUUAGAGAUAGGAGUCUUGUUCUGUCACCCAGGCUGGAGAGUGGUGGUGCAGUCAUGACUCAUUGCAGCCUCAAACUCCUGGGCUCGAGUGAUCCUCUUUCUUCAGGCUCCUAAGUAGCUGGAACUACAGGCACACACCUAAUUUUUAAAUUUUUUGUAGAGAUAGGGUCUCACUAUAUUGCCCAGGCUGGUCUUGAACUCCUGGCCUCAAGCCAACUCCCACCUCAGCCUUCCAAAGUGUUGGGAUUACAAAAUAUUACAGGAGUGAUCGACUGCACUGGGCUAAAAACAAGGGUUUUAAAUGCUUACCAUAUUUUUAAUGCUACAUCUGAUUGUGAAGGUGGGCUACUCAAAGCUUUUUGGGAAUUUACAGGCUCACUAAAAUGAUCACGAUAGUGUAUUAAAUUGAGAAAGGCAUUGAAAAUCUGUCAUUCCCAUGAACAACCAAAGGGUGAUGUCUAAAAUUCUCUCUCAUCACCCAUGCACAUAACCAGGUAUAUGAGGCAGUUGGGUUGCAAGAGCUGAAUCCUAGAAACUCCUAGGCAGGGCUCCUCCUCUCCAGCUCUGAGGUGUGUGUAUUGAUGGCCCCCUACACCUCCCAGUUUGCUGCCUUGUGGGAAAAGGAGACCAGCUCUUCUGUUAUCUAGGAAAGGGAAGAAAUUUGAGAGCAGUGGCCUCUGUGUUCCAGGAAUAUUUGCGUUUCCCACAAAUCUCUGGAAAGCAGAAAGCUUGCCACAAGGGCAGCACACGGUAUGAGUCACAAAGGCAAGGACCUGAGGGAGAACACUUCCCAGGACUUUCAAAUAAGGUCUUUCCUAAAUGUACUUGGCUCAGUGUGGCAAAAGCACUGGGCUAGCAGCAGUCAGAUGUGGGUUCAAAGCAAGGCACAAUCAUUUAUUAGCUAUAAAUUUGGGCAAGUCACUUCUUGAGAAUAAGUUUCUUCAUCUGUAAACAGAAGUAAUACCUUCCUUAUAUCUUAAAUUGGUGUGGAAGUAAAUGAGUAAAAACCUCAGGGUUUUUCUGAGUUUAAAUGAGACAAUUCAUGUAACGUGCUUAGCACAAUACCUGGUACCCAGUAGGUACUCUGCAGUAUUUAUUGAUGAUGAUGAUGAUGAUGAUGAUGAUGAUGAUGAUGACAAAGAAAUACAAGGAAAUGUCAACACCUUAACAGUGCAUUCAUAGAUCUACAAAAUGCUUAAUCUCAGUGUUCUGGCAACCACUAAAUACAUAAAGAUAAUCUAAGACAUCAAGAUUUCAACAUAUAAAAAUAAAUAUAAAAACAAGUGAACAAUAAUCAUUUAUAUGUAGUUUCAUGACUGGAAAAAAUAAUAACCUAGAUUUUUUCUUAACCUAGAAAAUCUAGAUUAAAAAAUAAAGAUCUUGCAUUUUUGAUAUAAAACACAAAUAAUAAGGACAUGAAAAAAGAAUAUCCCUUGCUAGUAAUCAAAUAAUAGCAAUGAGAAGCUGGAUUCUUAUAUCUAAAAUAAAAGUGCAAAUAGUUCAUAAUAUCCAUUGGUGGUAAGGUUGUGGUAAAACUAGUAUUCUUAUUCUCUGCCAGUUGCUUUGGAAAUUGGUACUAUCUUUUUAGGAAUAUGGCAAUAUGUAACAAAAGCCAUAAAAUAUUCUACUCCUGGGUCUUUCUCCUCGGGAAGUAACUCAACAGAAGCAAAAAGAGGUGUAUACAAAAACCAAAUAUAAAAACAAACAAAUCUUUCCUCCCUCUUUCCUCCCACUGCCAAAAAAUGAAAGCUGGGAAUAGCCUAAAUUUCCAACUUAGUUGAAUUGUUCAAUAUAUUAGAGUUCAUCAAUAUGAGAGAAUAUUAUGCAUCUAAUAAUUGUGACGACUAUGUAUAAACAUGGAAAAUAUUUAAGAUCUGAUGUUUAACUAGCAUAUACACUAUUAUUGUAGCUAUGAGAAAGAAAUACUGCAUAUUUAGAAAUUAAUAUACAAAAAUGAAAACAACUAUGUUUGGGGACAGUGAUUAUGUACUUUUAAAUUUUUUUUAAUCUUGUUAUCUUUAAACUUUUCUAAAAAUGAUGUGAUUACAAGCAAUGGCUCUUUGGGAUCACCUAAUAAAUACCUACUAAAUUCUAGACGGGACAACGAGCUCUGCCAUCCUGCAAUGGCUCCUGUGACCUAGUUCCAGGGCCAUUCUGAAUGGACAGAGGUCUUCACAAUGGAGGUGGAGAUGCAGGGAGCUCUAUGGCAUGAAAUGGUUAAUGAUUCUCUUUUGUAAUUGUGUUUUCUGUUUGCUGCCUUAGUUCUAAAAGGAGGCAAAACAACUGUGGUUUAUUCUACCUUUUCCAGGCAUAGUUCUUCUCCUACCUUUGUGAUCCCCAAAUUAAUAUCAAAUGUCUAAUUAGUUUUUUUCUCCAUUGGUGAUCCCCAAAUUAAUAUCAAAUGUCAGACAAAGUAAAUCAAAGUACAAAUAAAGGUAAAACUGCUCUUGCAAAGGGCUAAAAUAGCAAUGUUUACUAGAAGCAUUCAAGAGCCAGUUCAAUUUCCUAUUUCUCAUUAAGUGGUAAAAUAGUAAUGCCAAGACCACAUCCCAGAAUCUCCAGGGUAACAGAGGCCCAACGAAGGGCUGCAGAGAAACUUGAAAGUAAACUGGCUUAGUUCUUUACACACAGAAAUUGUUCUACAAAGAUCUCUUGCAAAGCAGUGUCACCAGUAGCAUCACUGCCACUAAGCCAAUGUCCCAGGAAUUGAGGAAAGGAAGACACCCUUAAAGAAAAAAAUGGAAAAAAGCCACAAGGACUGGUACCACAGUAAAUGUCUGCCUGGGUCUCCCUAAACUGUCUUAGGUGAGCUUACCCAGGAAUGUUUCUCCCCUACAUGUUUGCCUUCCUUUGUUUAAGCCUUUAUUCCUCCUAAAUGAAAAUAAAUACCCCCGACUGGGGAACGUGGAGUUUGGAAAAAAAAUGAUAGAGUGUGUUCUGUUUUCAUUUUGGCCAUCAUGUAACAUUCUGCUUUUCC